AUGAGUUCUCCCCUGGACUUUAAGUCCACUAAAGGAACGUUGAAGACGACGACGUUGAUAGGCCGGGUGUGUAAGCGCAGCGAUGCGUUGAGCUAACCGGUACUAAUGAACCGUGAGGCUUAACCUUA
rnacentral:rRNA from 1 species